rnacentral:rRNA from 1 species
ACAACUUUCAACAACGGAUCUCUUGGCUCUCGCAUCGAUGAAGAACGCAGCGAAAUGCGAUAAGUAAUGUGAAAUGCAGAAUUCAGUGAAUCAUCGAAUCUUUGAACGCACCUUGCGCUCCUUGGUAUUCCAAGGAGCAUGCCUGUUUGAGUGUCAUUAAA